ACGCUCGACACCUACGGGCGGCAGCAGUGGGGAAUAUUGCACAAUGGGGAAACCCUGAUGCAGCAACGCCGCGUGAAGGAAGACGGUUUUCGGAUUGUAAACUUCUGUUCUUAGUGAAGAUAGUGACGGUAGCUAAGGAGCAAGCCACGGCUAACUACGUGCCAGCAGCCGUGGUAAUCUGAGCGGGCUGGCAAGGC
rnacentral:rRNA from 1 species